GACGAACGCUGGCGGCAUGCCUAACACAUGCAAGUCGAACGAGACCUUCGGGUCUAGUGGCGCACGGGUGCGUAACGCGUGGGAAUCUGCCCUUGGGUUCGGGAUAACAGUUGGAAACGACUGCUAAUACCGGAUGAUGACUUCGGUCCAAAGAUUUAUCGCCCAGGGAUGAGCCCGCGUAGGAUUAGCUAGUUGGUGAGGAAAAGGCUCACCAAGGCGACGAUCCUUAGCUGGUCUGAGAGGAUGAUCAGCCACACUGGGACUGAGACACGGCCCCUGACUCCACCGGGAGGCAGCAUGGGGGAAUAUUGACCAAUGGGCGAAGCCCUGUUCCGCCAAUGCCGCGGGAUGUAUGAAGCCUUUAGGUUUAUAAAGCUCUUUUCCCCGGGAUGAUAAUGCCAUUACCGGGAGAUAAAGCCCCGCCUAACUCCGUGCCAGCCCCCGCCGUAA
rnacentral:rRNA from 1 species